GAUGAACGCUAGCGGCAGGCUUAAUACAUGCAAGUCGAGGGGCAGCAUGAUUGUAGCAAUACAAUUGAUGGCGACCGGCAAACGGGUGCGGAACACGUACACAACCUUCCAACAAGUGGGGGAUAGCCCAGAGAAAUUUGGAUUAAUACCCCGUAACAUAGCUAUGUGGCAUCACAUUGCUAUUAUAGAUUUUUAGCUUGUGGAUGGGUGUGCGGCUGAUUAGAUAGUUGGCGGGGUAACGGCACACUAAGUCUACGAUCAGUAGCUGAUGUGAGAGCAUGAUCGGCCACACGGGCACUGGGACACGGGCCCGACUCCUACGGGAGGAAGCAGUAAGGAAUAUUGGACAAUGGACGCAAGUCUGAUCCAGCCAUGCCGCGUGAAGGAUUAAGGUCCUCUGGAUUGUAAACUUCUUUUAUAAGGGACGAAAAAAGGCUUUUCUAAGUCGUCUGACGGUACCUUAUGAAUAAGCACCGGCUAACUCCGUGCCAGCAGCCGCCGUAACAC
rnacentral:rRNA from 1 species